GAAGCCAACCAUCCAAUAGGAGCGAAGGAAAGACAUGGCUAUAAACAACAUUAUAUAAAAAUCUCUCACUUAGCUGAUUGGUCAUAGCUAAAUUAGUUAUUUGUCAAAAAUGUGAGGAGGGAUGUAGCCACAGCUGUGAUGUACUAGCUAUCUAUCUGCCCCGUGGUGAUGUGAUGGUGGUGUGGAUCAAAAGCAGCCCCCAAAACUGUCCAGGGUGAGUGGCAGACUUGCGCUCUCUACACAGAAUCACUCGCGACCAAUCUCAACAAACGCGCGAGGCCGGAGAGACGCAUGCGUCAAAAUGAGGAGGAGGGACUACUUUAACGCUUCGAACACAGCGGCUAUGCAACUAUACUGAUGCAGGUAUCUUUUGCAGACGGUCGCAUGCGGUUGGACACAUGGAGGAGAGAAUCCUGUUCAGUAUCCUCAAAACCGUGUCUUUUUGACACAACUGCUGACAGCUACAGGGACAUAACCACAAAACAUGCUGCUUGGAGUCCACGAUAGUACCAUUGCCCGAAGAAGACUGUAGGAGGAAGUGGAGAGGACUCAGGGACAGGUAUCAGAGAGAGAGAGAAGGGCAGAGAAAGAGAAGAGGUCUGGGUCAGCAGCUUCAGGCCAGCAGCCUUGGCACUUCUUCCACAUUCUUUCUUUUCUGGAUCCAUUUAUUGUACCUAGGGCAACAAGUGGCAAUUUUACAGCCAGACCCUCUACUACGUCAUCCACAAGUGUGGGCGCCACCGGUGCAUCAAGACUCUCUACGUCAUUAACAAGUGAGACCAGUCUCCACCGGUGCAUCAAGACUCUCUACGUCAUUAACAAGUGAGACCAGUCUCCACCGGUGCAUCAAGACUCUCUACGUCAUUAACAAGUGAGACCAGUCUCCACCGGUGCAUCAAGACUCUCUACGUCAUUAACAAGUGAGACCAGUCUCCACCGGUGAAGCGAGACCCUCUAUGUCAUCCACAAAUAUGACCACCACCGGUGCAGCCAUGGAAGAUGAUGAAAUGGAGGAAGCACCUCUGGAUCUAGGACCACCUGAGAUUAUUAAGACCCUCACGGGAAGUGACCACUGAGGACCUUGUUGAACAGGAUGUGGCCGUGGAGAGAAACCAAGAGGACCAACGUCACACCAGGCGCCAUCGGCGGUACCAGCCCCCAGAUCCACUCAACUAAUUUCAGCAGAGGCUCCUCCAAGCCAUCGAGAGGGAUGCAGCCCAACCUGAUGCUCACAGGAAGGAGGAUGAAGAAACCUUCUUUGCCAUGAGCCUGGUGUUAACCCUGAAGAGGCUGCCUCAGCAAAGAAAAGCAGCAUUCAAGGUUAAAAUUCAUCAGUUGCUUUUCUAUGCCAAGUUCAAUGAGAUGGAGUCAAUUUAGCAGACCAGCUCAUAGGAAGGACAAGAAGAGGAGAUUGUCUGGUUGUUGUUUUGACCUUCUCCUCCAUGGGUUUUGAGCGGGAGGUAAGGAAAGGACACAAGGAAUCAAGGAACUGCAACUGAGAUUUUCCCACUGUCCUCAACUGAGAUGUUGUAACUGUUCUUAUUGUGCUUACUAUGUCCUUGUAAGUAGUUUCUCAAUACUUAGGAUAGCAUUCAUUAUUAGUUGUACAUAGAUUGCAUGAAAAUUGACUGACUUGAAACUGACACACCAGAGAAUUCAGAUGCUCUUGUUGUUCUUUUACAAGACUAAAGGUGAAAUGUGUUUACCUGUAUUGUGGCUCCACAUUCACUUUUAGUUUUCAGACACACACACAUCCUCCACUCCUCUAUGUACCUCAGAUCUCCAGUGCCCUGCAAUCUCUCUUUAUGGCCAUGUCUGAAGUUCCCCUACUAUGUCUAGGCUUUAUUAGUAGUCCCUGUAUCUGUCUGCAGUUAUGCCAAAAAUACAUGCUCUUGUUGUUCUCUUACAGAUUACACAUUCAUUUUUAUAUUUUUACAGGCACAUACAGUACACACACACCUCUCAAUAGUUUUAAUUUUUUGUAAUGUUUUUACAACACAUACCUGUCAUGUUCUUUCCUGUACUUGAAUACUUAUUAAAUUAUGUUUUCAUCGUCA